AGCAACCUGCCCUGGACUCUGGGAUAAGCGCUGGAAACGGCGUCUAAUACUGGAUAUGAGACGUGAUCGCAUGGUCGUGUUUGGAAAGAUUUUUCGGUCUGGGAUGGGCUCGCGGCCUAUCAGCUUGUUGGUGAGGUAAUGGCUCACCAAGGCGUCGACGGGUAGCCGGCCUGAGAGGGUGACCGGCCACACUGGGACUGAGACACGGCCCAGACUCCUACGGGAGGCAGCAGUGGGGAAUAUUGCACAAUGGGCGGAAGCCUGAUGCAGCAACGCCGCGUGAGGGAUGACGGCCUUCGGGUUGUAAACCUCUUUUAGCAGGGAAGAAGCGUAAGUGACGGUACCUGCAGAAAAAGCGCCGGCUAACUACGUGCCAGCAGCCGCGGUAAUACGUAGGGCGCAAGCGUUAUCCGGAAUUAUUGGGCGUAAAGAGCUCGUAGGCGGUUUGUCGCGUCUGCUGUGAAAUCCCGAGGCUCAACCUCGGGCCUGCAGUGGGUACGGGCAGACUAGAGUGCGGUAGGGGAGAUUGGAAUUCCUGGUGUAGCGGUGGAAUGCGCAGAUAUCAGGAGGAACACCGAUGGCGAAGGCAGAUCUCUGGGCCGUAACUGACGCUGAGGAGCGAAAGGGUGGGGAGCAAACAGGCUUAGAUACCCUGGUAGUCCACCCCGUAAACGUUGGGAACU
rnacentral:rRNA from 1 species